GACAGAGGGUGCAAACGUUGUUCGGAAUUACUGGGCAUAAAGCGCACGUAGGUGGUCCGCUAAGUCGCGUGUGAAAUCCCCCGGCUCAACCGGGGAAAUGCGCGUGAUACUGGCGGGCUUGAGAUCGGGAGGGGUGAAUGGAACUCCAGGUGGAGCGGUGAAAUGCGUAGAUAUCGAGAGGAACACCUGCGGCGAAGGCGGGUUGCUGGGCUGACACUGACGCUGAAGCGCGAAAGCCAGGGGAGCGAACGGG
rnacentral:rRNA from 1 species